CACUGUGCUCCAGGAGAUGUGCUGUGAGGAUAGGGAGUUGACAUAACAUUUCUUCUCCUGUCAUCUCUGAUGAUGCAGAUGCACAAAUGAGGUUCUAGUUGUUUACUUGCAUGUUAAUUUUAAGCUUAAUUAGUAACACAAGGGGUGUAGGGAAUUAGUGUUUGACAAAUAGAAGAAGACACAUUUGGAAGGAGAAUGAAGCAAUGUUUGUUUUUAAGCUCCUAAGAGGCUGUUGUGAACUAUGAAGAGGAAAGGAAAAUAAAGUUGAACUAUAGGAAAAGUGCUUAAGAGUGUGUCCUUUCAAGUACUCCUUCCACUAAUUUAAAAGGGCAAUGACUGAAAAUAUAAAGUGCAGAGCAAAAUUUGUCCUGUACUUAAUUUUUUAGAGGAAUAACAGCCAGUAAGAGCAUGGCUGUUUAUUCCUUAGGGAAGACAUGGGAUUAAGUUAAAAAGGAAACAUAUAGCUUUAUCCACUGGCCCCUCUGUGAUUCUUGCAGUCCUUCAAUAGCUUCAUUCCAGCCUUAUGUUGGUUAAGCAAUCAACAGAAGAGAUUGUUUCAUCAUCACUGUGUAGCCAUUGCUGAGGCACAGGGAGAACGCCUUUAAGGACCCCUGCCAAAUUGCUUUACCCCUAAUAUUUCCUCUCCCCAGGUGAAAAGCAGCCUUUGUGGAGGAUCUCACCUUCUGAUAUUUCUGAACCCUUUCUUAGACUGCAAAAUGGCACCAAGGGUCACAUAAAAACUGAUGGAGAGCCAAGACCAGGUCUGAGGGGUGUGACCUGUGUUGCAAGCAGCAGCAGCAGUUGUUCAGGAGGUGUCAGCUGGCUGAAGAAGGAGUAAUGAAAGGGAAAGUUUUGGUCAACUUCUGCAAUCUUUAGACCCUUCUCAGUACAAUCAGUAUAUUCAGAAAUUUGAUGUAUGAAUAUGGUUGCACACCAGCUUGUCUUCUAAUUGUCUUCUAACCAUAUUCAACCUCUGAAUUCCCAUGACCAUCUGAGUUGGAGUGAGUUAAAAGUGAGUUUUUCACUGACUGUGAGGGGAGGCUUUGGUAAAUAUGUGCCAUAGAUGGAUAUCCUUGGCUGAUGGCAGAAUUUUUUCAUG
ensembl:lncRNA